rnacentral:rRNA from 1 species
UACGGAGGGUGCAAGCGUUAUCCGGAUUCACUGGGUUUAAAGGGUGCGUAGGAGGGCAGGUAAGUCAGUGGUGAAAUCUCCGGGCUCAACUCGGAAACUGCCGUUGAUACUAUCUGUCUUGAAUUAGCGAGAGAUUCGUGGAAUUCCGAGUGUAGCAGUGAAAUGUGUAGAUAUUCGGAAGAACACCAGUGGCGAAGGCAGCGAAUUGGCGCUAUAUUGACGCUCAGGCACGAAAGCAUGGGGAUCAAACAGG